rnacentral:lncRNA from 1 species
AACUUCUCUUCACGAGACACGCCACGUCAGCGUUUUCAGGUUUAGAGUUUAGGAUUUAGGGUUUAGAAUUUAGAAUUUUAGGUUUAGAGUUUAGGAUUUAGGGUUUAUGGUUUAGAGUUUUGGGUUUUAGGUUUAGAAAUUAGGGUUUAGAAUUUAGGAUUUAGAGUUUAGGAUUUGAGGUUUAGGGUUUAAAUUUUAGAUUUUUAGAAUUUCGGGUUUUGUAGACGGCGUUAACUUCGGUGUUUUUUCUCAGCCGUUUUUUUUUUUAAUUUUAUUGCUUUUUUUAACUAAUCUUAUAUGGCAAUUUGGUUGGUUAUAAAAGCUGAGGUGAAUUUGACCAUUCACCAUAGGGGUGAACCCAAAUAUUGUUCAAAUAAAAUCUCAAUGAUUAUCUUGCUCAUUUAUAUACACUACGAGAAAAAUAUGGGCUUCACGAUGAAAAUUAAUGACGAAAUUUAGCUAUAGUAAGUUGGAGCUUUUGUUAAAAUUUUCUUUCAGAAUUAACACUAAUAUCUAAAUGCUAAUGCUUUUUUUACCUUAUCCAUUAAUUAUUUUAUCUAUCUCUUUCAUAAAAUCAGUUAUAUUUUUCAGUUUUAUAAUAUUUAUUUAACAUUUUUACAAGAAUAUAAGGUUUUAAGUAUAAAAUAUAAUAGUACACAACGCAGUAAGUUCGUAUAUUAAUCUAUCUACUAGAUUCUAACCCGCGCUGAAGCGCAGAAAUUGAUUCAUCUAAUUUUAAUUUUAAUUUUUUGUAUAUGAUAUGUGUAUAUAAUUUUUAUAAAUAUUUUUGUGUAAUAUUUAUAAAUAUUUUUUUGUAAUAUUUAUAUAUAUAUUUGACAUCUAUAUCUAAUUUUUAGUGGUGUUAUAAUUUGUGUUGUACAUGUUGUUAGUUUGUAUUGAAUCUUGUUUCAUUUUCAGUAUAAUAGUUUGAUUUGGAUCACUUUAAACUUACAUUUGUUAAAUUUAAAAUAUUCGAUUUUUUUUUAAAAAAUAUUAUAUUAUUUUAACAACUUUAUUAGUUAUGCUUAUAACUAAUCAUAAUUAGUUUGUUAAAAAUAUUAAACACAUUUAGCCCAUAAAAUUUUAAUGGAUGUUUUUAAGAUCAAAAGUUUGGGCUAUUUAAUAGUUUAUGGAUCAGGCCUUGUGACAAAUUUAAUUUAACAAAGGAUAUUAUCUAAAUCCAAAUGAGUAACAAAGGGUUUAAAUUUUAGAUUUUUAGAAUUUCGGGUUUUGUAGACGGCGUUAACUUCGGUGUUUUUUUUCAGCCGUUUUUUUUUUUUAAUUUUAUUGCUUUUUUUAACUAAUCUUAUAUGGCAAUUUGGUUGGUUAUAAAAGCUGAGGUGAAUUUGACCAUUCACCAUAGGGGUGAACCCAAAUAUUGUUCAAAUAAAAUCUCAAUGAUUAUCUUGCUCAUUUAUAUACACUACGAGAAAAAUAUGGGCUUCACGAUGAAAAUUAAUGACGAAAUUUAGCUAUAGUAAGUUGGAGCUUUUGUUAAAAUUUUCUUUCAGAAUUAACACUAAUAUCUAAAUGCUAAUGCUUUUUUUACCUUAUCCAUUAAUUAUUUUAUCUAUCUCUUUCAUAAAAUCAGUUAUAUUUUUCAGUUUUAUAAUAUUUAUUUAACAUUUUUACAAGAAUAUAAGGUUUUAAGUAUAAAAUAUAAUAGUACACAACGCAGUAAGUUCGUAUAUUAAUCUAUCUACUAGAUUCUAACCCGCGCUGAAGCGCAGAAAUUGAUUCAUCUAAUUUUAAUUUUAAUUUUUUGUAUAUGAUAUGUGUAUAUAAUUUUUAUAAAUAUUU